CGCCCGUUAGCACAACGGUUAGUGCGUCUGCACUUGAUGUUGAAAUGAUAGAAGAGAUUACGCGGAAGAUCCCCGUUCGAUCCGGGGUCGGGUGA